AUGAACUACACCCCCUGUGGGUAGCACUUUGAGUAAUUUCUUUGAAUUAUUCGAUCAUAGAUCAGUGAUACCGUCCAUAAAGGAUGGGUUUCCCUAAUAAACAUAUCAUGUGGGUUCACUAUACUGAUGGUUAAUACAAUUAGUCCUGGGUUUUCCAAAUAUGAAUAAAUGGCUGGUUAUAAUCAGAUCAUUUAGUAGAGGAUCGUUGUAUAGUGGUAACAUUGGUGUUUGUUAUAGCCAAUUCUGUGGCUUUGUUCUGUAUCAUAUAUAGAAACCACACGGGUUAGUCAUGAGAUCUGUUCAUUAGUGAUCAGACAUUAAUGAUACCAGAAUUUUUAUAAUUAUGGGUGUCAAAAUAAGAUAGAGGUCUAUUUAUGAACUCGUAGGUGUUCUUAUAAUUAAUACCCAAUUAAUCAAUUUAUUAGGUUCCUUAUGCUUGCGAACCAGUUAGAUUCUAUACACAUAUGAAUCUUCCCCAUAUUCGAAUAUCUGAAUGUCAGACUCAAGCUGAUGAUAUAUGAGGUAUGGUCCCCGCUGUAUCAAUCAAGUCCCAUUGAAAUAUUAAAACGUUGUUCAUACAUCUUUGAAUGACCUUUUAUGUGCUGACAAUAUGUUCUGAAAUGAAGAGAUUUUACCCCUGAUGAAGUCUUGGAACAAGACGAAACGCGUUGGGUUAUUUAUCUAUUAUCUGAUGUUACCUCCGAAUCUACAAUAAGGAGAAGGAGGAAAUCGUAGUGAUAUAUCUACGCUUUUUCCUCAUCACUACAAACUGAUUGUUCAAAUUGUGCGACAAAUGUAAAUGUAUCAACUCUGUAUACUUAUGAACAUUUGUGUCGGGUUUAUAUGUUGUUUUAAUAAAUUUUUAUGUUAGUAUUUGUUAUCUGAUGUAAUUUAUCCGGAGAGUACUGUAAGGGUCCGUUUUUAGGUAGGGCGUUGAUAUAACUCCCUUGGCGCCAUCUCCUCUAUUUCGUUUCAUAU